rnacentral:rRNA from 1 species
UACGGGGGGGGCAAGCGUUGUUCGGAAUUACUGGGCGUAAAGGGCGCGUAGGCGGCCCACUAAGUCAGACGUGAAAUCCCCCGGCUUAACCUGGGAACUGCGUCUGAUACUGGAGGGCUUGAGUAUGGGAGAGGGAUGUAGAAUUCCAGGUGUAGCGGUGAAAUGCGUAGAUAUCUGGAGGAAUACCGGUGGCGAAGGCGGCAUCCUGGACCAUUACUGACGCUGAGGCGCGAAAGCUAGGGGAGCAAACGGG